rnacentral:rRNA from 1 species
UACGAAGGGGGGCGAGCGUUGUUCGGAAUUACUGGGCGUAAAGGGCCAGUAGGCGGCCAACUAAGUCACACGUGAAAUCCCCAGGCUUAACCUGGGAACUGCGUGUGAUACUGGAUGGCUUGAAUUCGGGAGAGGGAUGCAGAAUUCCAGGUGUAGCGGUGAAAUGCGUAGAUAUCUGGAGGAAUACCGGUGGCGAAGGCGGCAUCCUGGACCGACAUUGACGCUGAACGGCGAAAGCUAGGGGAGCAAACGGGG